AGAAAAAAGAGUGCCAGAAGCUACAGAAGAAGGGGAGAAAGAGUGGAGGUUGUAAUCAAUGGGUAAUCGAGAGAUAUAAUUCAGUUUUUGAAGGAUAACUUGGAAAUUUAUUGCUGGAUUUUACCAUCUGGUUAUCUGAGGAUGGCACUACAUCUGUCCAUACUUCUGUUUUUCUCAGCAACUGUCAGUUUCAGCCUGUCUAUCUCUUGUAAGUAUCUGACUAUCUGAUCCAGCAGGCGAAAAACUGGACUGAUGCUCAGGCUUACUGCAAAGCUACACACACCGAUCUGGCUAUUAUCCAGAGUAAUGAGGAGAUGGUUCAACUUAUGAUUGAAGCACAGAGACAAAAGUUCACUUCCAAUGCUUGGAUUGGACUGUACAAUGACAUCAACAGCUGGCGCUGGUCCAUGGGAAAUGAGCCACUGGGAAGUGUGAGACAAUGGGAUACAGAUGAGCCUAACAACAGUGAUGGACAUCAGGAGUGUAGUGUGAUAGAACCAAGUGGAUGGAAUGACAGACCAUGUACAGAAGAAAACAACGUUGUGUGCUUUGACAUUAAGAAAUAGCAGAUGAUUAACUUAUUAUUACAGAAGGUUGUCAUGAAAAUAUUGUAGAUUGUGUGCUUUCAGGGUUCCUUUAACCUUAACUGUAAUUAGAUUAGAUUAGAUUAGAUUCAACUUUAUUGUCAUUGUGCAAGGUACAUGUACAGAGUCAAUGAAAUGCAGUUAGCAUCUAACCAGAAGUGCAUAGAUGGCUUAUUUACAAGUGGCAGU